GGCCAGGGCCAGUCAUAUCAGCUUCAACAAGACCACUUGCUAGGUCCUGCAUUUUGGUCACAGCAACCCAAUGAACCAUUACAAGCUCAGGGUAGAGUGCCUGGAAAGCUGCGUGGAGGAAAAGAAUUUGGGAAUGUUAGCUGACAGCCUGCUGAACGUGAGCCAGCAGUGUGCCCAGGUGCCAAGGCCAACGGCGUCCUGGCUUGUGUCAGAAAUAGUGCAGCCAGCAGGAGCAGGGAGGCGAUCAUCCUUCUGUGCUCAGCUCUGGCCUGUGCUGUUCUGUGAUUUUUCCAUCCCAAAAAUUGAGUUAACAGUGCUUCCCCACCUCUGCAAAACAUGCUGAAGCCACCAGAGGAAAGCACAAUGCAAGAGAUUUCCUCAGUGCUGUUUUCCAGACCUGGGAACCAAGCAGGAUGCAGAGCAAGCCCUGGAGAUAUCAGUGACACUGUCUGUGCUGAGGUCAGGUACCUACUGCCUGCUCCAAGCUCUGAGCAUUGGGUUGGACUAG
ensembl:lncRNA